rnacentral:tRNA from 1 species
UUAGCUGAAACCAAAAUAGAGGUUAAUUACUGUUAAUAAUUUUAUUGAGACCUGACUCCAGUUAAU